CGCGGCGGUGGCGUACGCGCUGUGGCCGGUGUUCACGACGGUCGUCGGUUCGACGUCGGCCGCCGCGC
rnacentral:tRNA from 2 species